AUAAGAAGAGGAAAAAGAAAGGCUGUUUGCCUGAGUUGCAUUGCUCAAUGACAUGAAUAGAAGCUGUUAUUCAAAGAAAUAAAAGCUAUUGCUGGAAGUUUAUUGCAGCCUCCAGAGAGAUCUUCAGGUUGAAAAAUGCAAAGUCCUAGGUAAGAAAUGAAGCAACAUUCAUGUCUCGGGAUAAUAACUACAGCUCUGAUUACUCUUGAAACAACUGACUGGAAGAAACCCAUCAGAUAGUGAAGAAGGGAAGGAUGAAAAAACCUCUCACACAGGCAAGUCAUAACUUUUGACCAGACCAGAGCUAUAACGACCAAUAGGUAUUAAAAUAGUGCAUGACAGAUAGAAUGGCCAUUGUUGUGCUAUUGUAUUGUUGCAUAGUAAUUUGAAUUAAUAUAGCUGCUCAUAAAUAUAAUUAUGCAGAAUAUUUCAUCAAAUUGAAGUAUCCUUAUUCCUCUACUGAACUAUUGUGACAUAUAAUCGCUAGUGUUUUAAUUAGGAUUAGAAAUUCUGCAGGCUCAAAAUCAUUUUAAUUCAAAAUGUUCAUGUUUAGUUUUACAUAUUUACUCCUUAUCUGUGUGAUAAAAUCAUGAAUUUAUUUUCUUACCCUACUUAGAAUAUAUGCUUAUUUUAUUUAGCACAUUUAUGACCCUCCCUUUCCUCCAAAGAGUUUGGGACGAUGUAGACAGCAAUUCCCUUGUAGUAAUUCAGUUUUACAUUUCACAAGUUCCUCAGGGAAAGAAAAAGAGCUGUUGUUUUAAAUAAAUCUUAAACCCUAGUGUUAAGAUUUCCCAAUUUGAACAUCAGAAAAUAAUGAAAGUAUCAAAUUAAUCCUUUCCCUCUACUGUUUUCUGUUGACAAGCCAUUCACAUUAUGGUGGAUCCAUAGCUAUCCACACUAUCCCCAUCAGGUUUUGCUAUAACUAGCAUAGAGAAGAUGGUGUUUCAACCAGAAAAUAUCAAGAAGCAAAUUAUUAGACACCUCCAUUCUUAAUUCCCAAGCUUGUUUGAUGAAAGGAAGAAAAGUAUGGAUUCAAAGUUAUACUUAAAAUGAGAUCUAAAUUGAUCUUCUAGGAAUAUUUGUCAAAAUCUAUCCAACCAAAUUAAUGACUAAAUGAAGAUUUGAAUUCAAAGCAAAAUUCACAUGCUACAUAUACAUCAAAUUUAUCUUAUAUCACUCCUGCUUGUCUUUUCUUUAAAGACAUAAAAUACUUGCACCCUCCUCAGGUGCUAUUGAACAUGUCCAACCAAGGGAUGAUGGGUGUUGCAACAUAAAGCAUGUCUCCACAAUUUGUUGUAUGAGCCCCAUGAAUCACCAUAACAUAAAGUUCUGAACUUGACUAUAAUUUGUAUUUUUCCACAAUAUAUGUCUUAUUGUCUGGGGGGAAAACAGUAUUUUUGAAUACUGGUAUUAAUAUACUCAGCAGCUGAUUUGCAAUAGGGGCAAUUCCUAUAAGCACUGGCACUAAAUUGAUGAGCAACUGGUUUUAUUUAUUUUACAGCUUAGUUGAUUUUAGAUGCAUUGGGUUACAACACCCAAAUUCCAAGCCAAUGUGACUCAAUGAAAAUUUUUGUGUAAAACAUCUGGAAAACUGGAUCAAGGAAAUCUAAUUUCACUUGUGCAUGACAAAAUCAGCACCUUUUUAAACUAUUUUUUUUAUUAAGCCUUUUAAUAAAAUACAUUAGUCUGAAAAGAUGCCCUUAUUUUUAGCUACUAUAAACAAAAACAUAUUUCUUCCUACAAUGUUCUACAAACUAGAGGCACAGACAAAGGGCUUUUAGGAGGAAAACUAGGUUGGGCAAAAUGUUUCCACCACAAAAUGUACCACAGCAAUCAUGUUAUCGGACAUCUCCUGUUAUUCACAAUAGAGGGAACAUUUUAUAUUUCUUAGCAGACUAAAAAGUAAAACCACCUAUCAGAAGCUUCUGUCAAAAGGAUCACAGGUCUCUGAUGACCUUCAACUCAUGUAGAAGAAAAUGAAUUAUGUUUAAUAAAUUGGAAUUUCCUAGGAUUAGGCUACCCUCUUUAAAUGGGAAACAAGAUGAGCUGCUGGGUCAUCAGAUAAUACAAUGGAAUUGA